GAAUUGUAAUUUGAAGAAGCGUUUUCCGCGUCUCGGUUGGCCCAAAUCCUUUGGGAUGAGGUAUCAUGGAGGGUGAGAAUCCCGUUCGGUUGACCUCAUGACGCUCUACGAUACGCUUUCUAAGAGUCGAGUUGUUUGGGAUUGCAGCUCAAAAUGGGAGGUAAAUUUCUCCUAAGGCUAAAUAUCGGCGAGAGACCGAUAGCGAACAAGUACCGUGAGGGAGAGAUGAAAAGAACUUUGAAAAGAGAGUAAAAUAGUACGUGAAAUUGUUGAAAGGGAAACGAUUGAAGUCAGUCGUUCCGACGGAAAAUCAGCUCUUCGAGUGCGGACUUGUGGGCGUACGUGAGCUUUAACCGGCCUCGUCGUUUGCUACGUUUGUGCUUUUUGGGUGUACUUUUUCGUAUGGUAGGCCAACGUCAGUUUCGAUCACCAUAAAAUGAUCGGAGGAAUGUAGCUUCGAUCUUGUAUUGAAGUGUUAUAGCCUUUGGUAGACGUGGUGACUGAGACUGAGGAUUGCAACGAAUACCCUUUGGGCUAUCCGUCUGACCUCUGAAAGUUGCUCAGGUGCCGAAAGCGUGCUU
rnacentral:rRNA from 1 species